CUUUCACCCAAAUCUUUUCCCACUGUCUUUUUUCAGUUCCCCUCCAAACCCCUGUUUAAUUUCCACUAUUUCUCAUCAUGUUUUGUUGUGGUUUUCUUUUACUUUUAGGCUAAUCAAGAGUGACCCAGAUGCAAAAGCACACUCUUUUUUGUUCUUCUAUGAUGGGUAAGGAAAUUUAGCAGCAAAAUAAUGAAUGUAUGUAUAUAUGUAGUUCAUAAAUUUUCCCAAUGGCUGAUGUUAGCGACUCUAGCAAUAUUCAGAUUCUUGACUCUCAGCCUCAGCCCCCAUGAUCACCACCAUCUGUAGGAAAUGAAGCUAAUGAUGUGACAGAAGUUGGGUAUGCUAUGGCUUAUGAAGAUACUGUUGUGCUUGAUAGUUCAUUAGCGAAACCCAGUUGGAAAAACUUGUUUUUGAUGACGAGGUUGUGGGUGAUGGGAUUGGGGGUGCAGUAUGUGAGUAUGAGGAAGAGGUGGUGCUUGACAGUGAGGAUGAGGGAGUGCAGGGAAGUAAAGUGGUUAAUGUUGUUAAUGGCGUAUUGGACGGUAAAGCCGGUAGAAGAUUGAAAUGGAAUGUGAUGGACUUGUGGAAGGGGCAGCUCAGUUCGCCUUGGAAGCGAGUGGACAUGGCAUUGGCAUCAAAUGUCUCCAACCAGGAACAAUUUGGAGCAGGGAAUAAAGGAUCUUCUAUAAAUUUUGAGAGCACUGGUAGGGGAAAAAAUCUAUCUCAUCCACCUCCAAGUGAUUACAACCUUGCUAGAUUGAAUUACAUCAAUUCUCAGGAACCUGGGGAGUCGGCUGAAGCCAAUGCACUCAGGUUUGUGGAUCACUUCUUGUCAUCUAACAAUGUUGGCAUGUCUCCAAGUGUUGGCCAUGGAAAGACUUUUAGGGAGAAUCACUUCCUGUAUUCAGUGCAAAAGGAACUCAAGUUUGGCAAAGAGAAUUAAACUUGGAACCGCAAUUGUAAAAACAGGAGCCCUUGAAUGGACUGAUAGUGAUCAGCAUGGAGGUGGUGAAAUUGCUAGCAAAAGGAUGGAGGCAUCUAUUGAUUUUGGAGGUUGCAGGCAGAAAUCAGUGACAAGUCAUCAGGACACCAGGAAUCUUCACAUUAAACAAGGUGGCAGCUUAGUUAAUGAGGGCAAAGAGAACAAUGAGUUCCUAAAUCUCAGUAAGGAAAUGAUGCAUUCAACUUGUGCUGAUUCAAGGUCUGCCUUAUUCAGCUCAAAAGAGAUUAACAGGACAUUACAAGUAAUUGAAAAUAACCCUGUUGAGGAAUUAGAGGAUCGGUUAGAUGCUAGCUUAACAGGACAACAGUUGGAAGCUAGCAAUAUGGAAAGAGAAACAUCUGACAUGUUUGAUAUUGGUUUUAACACUCAAGUGGCUGUUGAAGCUAUGGAAGCUCUAGCAUAUGGACAGUUAUGGUAAUGCUUAUCAAAGUCCAGAAAACACCCUUGAUCAUUCUACAAGAGGUGUAAAUGAGAAUGAAGCUCAUUUUGGACAUCCGUCCUUCCAAGAGACUGCUUGUUUUGAUUUAGGAGACAGCAAGAAAAACAAAGCGAAGAAAGCGUUCUGCUAGAAGAUUUAGUAGGGGAAGUUCAGGUUCAUUUCAGAAGCAGUCUGUAAAUCAGGAGUUAGAUCUUGAGUUGGUAAUAACAACAAAAGUGAGAAGAGGCAAGUCCUCUGAUCAGAGACAGUUAAACAGUGGAAAUUCUGGUGAUGCAAUUGAAAGUUUAGGCAGAAGAUCUGUUAAGCCUAAUAAGCAAAGAAAGGCAGAGGGAUCUUCAGAAAGGAACAAACUUAAAUAUUUUAAGAUUGAUGUGUGUCCACCUCUGUCAGUUGAAAAUGUCUCACUUGGCAAAGUACAGUCCCAAGGAAAGUGUAUGAAUUUAUCUCUGAUUGCCCACCAUGACAGGCAGUGGAUGUCAGGGAGUAAUGUGAUAAAGACUAAGAAUCAAUUAGAUAAUCCAGGAGAUGUUAUAUAAUUCAAUACAGAAGAAAGAAGAGCCGUGUAGUUGCUGAUCCAGUUGAAGUUUUGAGAGCCAACGAAGGAAAUUCCAAACUGGACUUCAAUUCAUCUAGGGAAGCUAGAAACAGCAAAUUGAAUCACAAAGAUCAAUUUGUUCAAAGAAAGGCAGAGGCAUCUUCGGAAGGUACCAAACUUAAAGAGUUUGAGAUUGAUGUGUGUUCUUCUGUGUCAGUUGAAAAUAUCUCACUUGCCAAGGGACAGUCCCAAGGGAAGUGUAUGAAUCUAUGUCCUGUUGCCCAAAGAAACAGCCAAAGGAUGUCAGAGGGUAAGUUGAUGAGGACUAAGAAUCUAGGAGAAAGGAUAAAUGAUGGUGUUAUAAUUCAAUACAGAAGAAAGAGGAGCCGUGUAGUAGUUGAUCCAGUUGAAGUUUUGAGUGCUGAUGGAGAAUAUUCCAAAUUGGACUUCAGUUCAUCUUGCGAAGCUAGAAACAGCAAAUUGAAUCAAGAUGAUCAAUCGAUUCAAGAGGUCACCGCCAUAACCAAUUCCUUAAGUUGAUGAGGACUAAGAAUCUAGGAGAAAGGAUAAAUGAUGGUGUUAUAAUUCAAUACAGAAGAAAGAGGAGCCGUGUAGUAGUUGAUCCAGUUGAAGUUUUGAGUGCUGAUGGAGAAUAUUCCAAAUUGGACUUCAGUUCAUCUUGCGAAGCUAGAAACAGCAAAUUGAAUCAAGAUGAUCAAUCGAUUCAAGAGGUCACCGCCAUAACCAAUUCCUUAAGAUCAAAUUCAUGGAGAUAUCCAAGAGGGAAAAGAACAUAUCGUAGUGUACGAAGACAUUCAAGUGGACCUAAUAACAUGCAUGCCUCAUUCACAACAGUAGAUUGAAAUGACAGAAAUCUUCAUUGUAUUGAAAGUCAAAAAAGUUCAGAGGGCAUUGAAAAGUGAAGGGGAAAGCAAAUUCACCAGUAUAUACUUGCCCACAUCGGCAUUCUACAGAAACUGAUGAACCAGAUUCUGCUGGUGCUAUUUCAAACUGUGAAUCAGAUGCCAUCAAUACAAGAGUAUUUCCUACAGGUUUGUGCAGAGCCAGGGCAUCUAUGCAAUCUGGAAGUCUAAAUGGGAAAGAUUAUAUAUCAUCUACUGGUGGUGCAGGAAAGAACCAUAAGUUGGAGGUGUGAUCAAACAAGACUACUGAGCCAUCUGGUUCAGAAAAAACUAUUACAUUUAGCUCUGCCAAGGGCAUAAAUGUGGCAACAUCCAAUUGUAUAUAUUAUGAUUAUCACAGAAAACCAUGCAACAAAAACCUACCAAAAUCAUCCUUUUUGAAAGAGCUUUUAAGACUGGGUGUCCCUGAGUCAACACCUGAGAUUACCUGGAAAGACUCAAGAAGACGAAGAGAUAUGGCAUUUGUUCGAGUCUUGUUUAGCCAGCACUUGGACAACAAUAUCAUCAAGCAACAGAAAAAGAUCCUGGGAUGACUGGGCAUAUCCGUUGCGUCAUGUUGCAGGGAUGCCACACAUUUCAUAGCUGACAAAUUUGCACGUACAAGGAAUAUGUUGGAAUCCAUUGCUCUAGGAAAACCAGUGGUGACACACUUAUGGCUAGAGAGCUGUGGACAAGCAAGCCGCUUCAUUGAUGAGAAAAAUUACAUUCUGAGGGAUACCAAAAAGGAAAAGGAAAUUGGCUUUAGCAUGCCUGUCUCACUAACUCGUGCAAGCCAACAUCCAAUUCUAAAGGGUCGCAGAGUCGUUAUUACCCCAAGUAUAAAACCUGAUAAAGAAAUGAUUACAAGCUUGGUCAAAGCAGUUCAUGGCCAGCCAGUGGAGAGAAGUCAAGUAUUUCCAGCAAAGGAUGAAAAGAUCCUAGAUGAUCUUUUGAUUCUUUCUUGUGAAGAAGAUCAUGCAAUCUGUAGGCCUUUCCUUCAGAAAGGAGCAGCAGUUUAGAGUUCAGAGCCUUUACUGAAUGGAAUAGUUAUUCAGAAAUUGGAAUACGUAAGACAUAAGCUGUUCACAAAUCAAGAGGAAUCUCUAUAGCACAUGAUCAAGAAGCCACUUGCUAUAACAGUAGCAUUGCAUUUUUGCAAUCACAUUGAUAAUCUGAAUCUUUCUAGCACAAGAUCAAAGAAAGAUGAUGACUUUUGUCUUUGUGUAAGCAUGUAUUUAGUUUUCCCUUAUUGGUUUUUGCGUUUGUGGGUGCUAGAAUUCCUUGCAGCCGAAUCAGUUUUCUGCUGGAAAGGGAGGGGUUGGUCAUUUUUGUUGUAAAUUAUAUAUCAGUAGUUCACCGGAGUUCUUUUGGUAAUCAUAGAAACUUUUGCAUAUUUGUUUCAUGUCAAAACUCAUCAAAUUUCUUUGGGAAAAAAGAGCACUAAAUUGUUGUCUACUAAUCAAUGUAGUGUAGUGUAGUAUAGCGUAAGCAUUAUGCCAGGAUUUGGGGGUUUGUAAUUGCUUUUUUAAGGACACCCUGCAAUAUACAUGCCCCAAGAGUAUUAAGCAUAUAUUGAUUUGUGUAA